rnacentral:rRNA from 1 species
CUGUAGAGAUACGGGGGUGCCUUCGGGAACUGUGAGACAGGUGCUGCAUGGCUGUCGUCAGCUCGUGUUGUGAAAUGUUGGGUUAAGUCCCGCAACGAGCGCAACCCUUAUCCUUUGUUGCCAGCGGUCCGGCCGGGAACUCAAAGGAGACUGCCAGUGAUAAACUGGAGGAAGGUGGGGAUGACGUCAAGUCAUCAUGGCCCUUACGACCAGGGCUACACACGUGCUACAAUGGCGCAUACAAAGAGAAGCGACCUCGCGAGAGCAAGCGGAUCUCAUAAAGUGCGUCGUAGUCCGGAUUGGAGUCUGCAACUCGACUCCAUGAAGUCGGAAUCGCUAGUAAUCGUGGAUCAGAAUGCCACGGUGAAUACGUUCCCGGGCCUUGUACACACCGCCCGUCACACCAUGGGAGUGGGUUGCAAAAGAAGUAGGUAGCUUAACCUUCGGGAGGGCGCUUACCACUUUGUGAUUCAUGACUGGGGUGAAGUCGUAACAAGGUAACCGUAGGGGAACCUGCGGUUGGAUCACCUCCUUA